UAGAACUCUGCGGUUUUGUGGAGCUCGAGAGUCCGGGACAAGGUAGACGCAGGAUAUUGACCUUUUUAUUUUUAACUGCAUUUUCAGUUUGGAGGUUGUAAAAUAGGUAUAACAUUUAAGAAAAAAAAUUGAAAGGUAUCUAUUGGAUGCUGAUGAUUAUGAAACAAAGUAGCAAAGAUAAGAAGCCAUUUGCUCAUUCUGCUCCUUUGCCAGCAAUAUUUCACAAAGCCCCUGACUCAUUGACUGUGAGCAGCCUUGUGGAAGAAUGCCUUGAAGACCAUAAGCAGGAUAGGGAAUAGGUUUGCACAUCUCUUGCCUGAAUCACUGAAUUUU
rnacentral:lncRNA from 10 species